rnacentral:rRNA from 1 species
CAGGCUUAACACAUGCAAGUCGAGGGGCAUCAGGAAGAAAGCUUGCUUUCUUUGCUGGCGACCGGCGCACGGGUGAGUAACACGUAUCCAACCUGCCCUUUACUCGGGGAUAGCCUUUCGAAAGAAAGAUUAAUACCCGAUGGCAUAAUGAUUCCGCAUGGUUUCAUUAUUAAAGGAUUCCGGUAAAGGAUGGGGAUGCGUUCCAUUAGGUUGUUGGUGAGGUAACGGCCCACCAAGCCUUCGAUGGAUAGGGGUUCUGAGAGGAAGGUCCCCCACAUUGGAACUGAGACACGGUCCAAACUCCUACGGGAGGCAGCAGUGAGGAAUAUUGGUCAAUGGGCGGUAGCCUGAACCAGCCAAGUAGCGUGAAGGAUGAAGGCUCUAUGGGUCGUAAACUUCUUUUAUAUAAGAAUAAAGUGCAGUAUGUAUACUGUUUUGUAUGUAUUAUAUGAAUAAGGAUCGGCUAACUCCGUGCCAGCAGCCGCGGUAAUACGGAGGAUCCGAGCGUUAUCCGGAUUUAUUGGGUUUAAAGGGAGCGUAGGUGGACUGGUAAGUCAGUUGUGAAAGUUUGCGGCUCAACCGUAAAAUUGCAGUUGAUACUGUCAGUCUUGAGUACAGUAGAGGUGGGCGGAAUUCGUGGUGUAGCGGUGAAAUGCUUAGAUAUCACGAAGAACUCCGAUUGCGAAGGCAGCUCACUGGACUGCAACUGACACUGAUGCUCGAAAGUGUGGGUAUCAAACAGGAUUAGAUACCCUGGUAGUCCACACAGUAAACGAUGAAUACUCGCUGUUUGCGAUAUACAGUAAGCGGCCAAGCGAAAGCAUUAAGUAUUCCACCUGGGGAGUACGCCGGCAACGGUGAAACUCAAAGGAAUUGACGGGGGCCCGCACAAGCGGAGGAACAUGUGGUUUAAUUCGAUGAUACGCGAGGAACCUUACCCGGGCUUAAAUUGCAGUGGAAUGAUGUGGAAACAUGUCAGUGAGCAAUCACCGCUGUGAAGGUGCUGCAUGGUUGUCGUCAGCUCGUGCCGUGAGGUGUCGGCUUAAGUGCCAUAACGAGCGCAACCCUUAUCUUCAGUUACUAACAGGUCAUGCUGAGGACUCUGGAGAGACUGCCGUCGUAAGAUGUGAGGAAGGUGGGGAUGACGUCAAAUCAGCACGGCCCUUACGUCCGGGGCUACACACGUGUUACAAUGGGGGGUACAGAAGGCAGCUAGCGGGUGACCGUAUGCUAAUCCCAAAAGCCUCUCUCAGUUCGGAUCGAAGUCUGCAACCCGACUUCGUGAAGCUGGAUUCGCUAGUAAUCGCGCAUCAGCCACGGCGCGGUGAAUACGUUCCCGGGCCUUGUACACACCGCCCGUCAAGCCAUGGGAGCCGGGGGUACCUGAAGUACGUAACCGCAAGGAUCGUCCUAGGGUAAAACUGGUGACUGGGGCUAAGU